rnacentral:rRNA from 1 species
GAUGAACGCUGACCGAAUGCUUAACACAUGCAAGUCAAAUUGUGGCGGACGGGUGAGUAACGCGUAAAGAACUUGCCUCACGGAUAGGGCCAAAAUUAGGAAACGAAUGCUAAUACAUGAUACUGUGAGAGAGCUUUGCGUCACAUUAGCUAGUUGGAGAGGUAACGGCUAACCAAGGCGAUGAUGGGUAGCCGGCCUGAGAGGUGGAGUGGACACAAGGGUACUGAGAAACGGCGCUUACUCCUACGGGAGGCAUCAGUGGGAAAUAUUGGACAAUGGACCACAGUCUGAUCCAGCAAUUCAGUGUGCACGAUGAAGUUUUCGGAAUGUAAAGUGCUUUCAGUUGGGAAGCGGUACCAACAGAAGAGGUGACGGCUAAAUACGUGCCAGCAGCCGCGGUAAUUC